GACGAACGCUGGCGGCGUGCCUAAUACAUGCAAGUAGAACGCACAGUUUAUACCGUAGCUUGCUACACCAUAGACUGUGAGUUGCGAACGGGUGAGUAACGCGUAGGUAACCUGCCUGGUAGCGGGGGAUAACUAUUGGAAACGAUAGCUAAUACCGCAUAAUAUUAAUUAUUGCAUGAUAAUUGAUUGAAAGGUGCAAAUGCAUCACUACCAGAUGGACCUGCGUUGUAUUAGCUAGUAGGUGAGGUAACGGCUCACCUAGGCGACGAUACAUAGCCGACCUGAGAGGGUGAUCGGCCACACUGGGACUGAGACACGGCCCAGACUCCUACGGGAGGCAGCAGUAGGGAAUCUUCGGCAGUGGACGAAAGUCUGACCGAGCAACGCCGCGUGAGUGAAGAAGGUUUUCGGAUCGUAAAGCUCUGUUGUAAGAGAAGAACGGGUGUGAGAGUGGAAAGUUCACACUGUGACGGUAUCUUACCAGAAAGGGACGGCUAACUACGUGCCAGCAGCCGCGGUAAUACGUAGGUCCCGAGCGUUGUCCGGAUUUAUUGGGCGUAAAGCGAGCGCAGGCGGUUAGAUAAGUCUGAAGUUAAAGGCUGUGGCUUAACCAUAGUACGCUUUGGAAACUGUUUAACUUGAGUGCAGAAGGGGAGAGUGGAAUUCCAUGUGUAGCGGUGAAAUGCGUAGAUAUAUGGAGGAACACCGGUGGCGAAAGCGGCUCUCUGGUCUGUAACUGACGCUGAGGCUCGAAAGCGUGGGGAGCGAACAGG
rnacentral:rRNA from 1 species